CCUACGGGAGGCAGCAGUGGGGGAUAUUGCACAAUGGGGGGAACCCUGAUGCAGCGACGCCGCGUGGGUGAAGGAGUGCUUCGGCAUGUAAAGCCCUAUCGGCAGGGAAGAAGCAAGACGGUACCUGACUAAGAAGCCCCGGCUAACUACGUGCCAGCAGCCGCGGUAAUACGUAGGGGGCGAGCGUUAUCCGGAGUCACUGGGUGGAAAGGGAGCGUAGACGGCCAUGCAAGCCAGGGGUGAAAGCCCGGGGCCCAACCCCGGGACUGCCCUUGGAACUGCAGGGCUGGAGUGCGGGAGGGGCAGGCGGAAUUCCUGGUGUAGCGGUGAAAUGCGUAGAUAUCAGGAGGAACACCGGCGGCGAAGGCGGCCUGCUGGACCGCGACUGACGUUGAGGCUCGAAAGCGUGGGGAGCGAACAGGAUUAGAUACCCUGGUAGUC
rnacentral:rRNA from 1 species